rnacentral:rRNA from 1 species
AGGGAAUCUUCCACAAUGGACGCAAGUCUGAUGGAGCAACGCCGCGUGAGUGAAGAAGGUCUUCGGAUCGUAAAGCUCUGUUGUUGGUGAAGAAGGAUAGAGGCAGUAACUGGUCUUUAUUUGACGGUAAUCAACCAGAAAGUCACGGCUAACUACGUGCCAGCAGCCGCGGUAAUACGUAGGUGGCAAGCGUUGUCCGGAUUUAUUGGGCGUAAAGCGAGCGCAGGCGGAAUGAUAAGUCUGAUGUGAAAGCCCACGGCUCAACCGUGGAACUGCAUCGGAAACUGUCAUUCUUGAGUGCAGAAGAGGAGAGUGGAACUCCAUGUGUAGCGGUGGAAUGCGUAGAUAUAUGGAAGAACACCAGUAGCGAAGGCGGCUCUCUGGUCUGCAACUGACGCUGAGGCUCGAAAAGCAUGGGUAGCGAACAGGAUUAGAUACCCUGGUAGUCCAUGCCGUAAACGAUGAGCGCUAGGUGUUGGGGACUUUCCGGUCCUCAGUGCCGCAGCAAACGCAUUAAGCGCUCCGCCUGGGGAGUACGACCGCAAGGUUGAAAC